GUCGUCAGAAAACAUUUCUUAUGAUAUAUCUGUCGCAAAAGUGUUGUCUUCAGUUAUCCUACUGAAACUAACGAGUGUCAGGGAAAUGCAGUUUUUUUUGCGGUCAGAAAAAGGUUUGACCUCACAACGAGGAAAUGGAGGAGUUGUGGGACGAGUUGGAUUGAGAACGAACCUGCAACUUGGAUGACGUGUAAUGAUGCAUUUAUACAAACGAUGAUUUCGUUAGGGCUAAAUUGGCCAUAGUUCUCUGUGGAACUGAGAUUUUGCUUUAGCCUGCGUUUAGUUUAGAAUGUGCUUUUAUUUUUUUACGGUAUGGGAAUCAUUGUUAUCCACUUAGUGCUUCCGCCACAACAAAGCCCUGUUUCUGGUCAGUUUCUGUCUGGAGAUGACAUUAUUUAUGAGAAAACUGCAAACUGAGAGAGGCCAGUUGUAGCCUAUCAAUAGGCUCCACUCACGUUGAACAACAGAAACUAUAAACGACUGUUUUUGCGGUCCCUCCGCCUUCCCCCCGUUAUUUCUUCUUUUUUUUAAAAAAACUCUGCUUGUGCCUAUAUGACCGCAUCCAUUUUGUGUCGUCUUGGGAGCUAAACCAGCGCCUCUUGAGUGACGUGUGGACAGGACUGGCGUGGAGCGGCCAGCUUCCUGUGGCUGGGGACAAGCUUUCUCCGGAUGGCUCAUAGCAACCUGCAACACAAGCCCGGCGAGCAGCAAUGCACUGAUGAUUAAUGUUGGGCAGGUUGGUAUUUCCAGAAGCAAUUCGGGUUCAGGUGGACUGCAUGGUGUCCUGGAAACGUAUCCAGACGCAGCAAGCGGCACCGAUCGUCAUCCUGGACUCCUGCUGCACAGCAGCCCCAGUGAGAAGCUUCCAGAAACAGAGGUGCACAGCCACCAAGCCGUCCCCUUCCCCAGGGCUGUGUUCAAGUGGCGUUUCAUAACCUGGAACGGCGUUGUGCUGAACAUUCAACUCUGUUACUUAUUCUGCUAAUAGAGCCGCUCUGUGCAGCCCAAAGACAGCGACUUGUCCCUCUCCCUGGGCAAUGCAGGGUCUGGGACGAGUGGAAAUGAACCUACUCACACGAAGAACUGCUCACGAACGGGAAGUCUUUUUUUAGGCUGGGGACGCUCAAUGCCUCUGCUCUAGUUGAUUCACUGCUCCAGAAUUCAGCUUGGACAACUGCUAAGAUUGGCUGGUGACCAAACUUUACAUUGAAAACUUG